rnacentral:rRNA from 1 species
AUUGAACGCUGGCGGCAUGCCUUACACAUGCAAGUCGAGCGCCCCGCAAGGGGAGCGGCGGACGGGUGAGUAACGCGUGGGAACGUGCCUCUUGCUACGGAAUAGCCUCGGGAAACUGGGAGUAAUACCGUAUGUGCCCUACGGGGGAAAGAUUUAUCGCCCUUGGAGGGGCCCGCGUCGGAUUAGCUAGUUGGUGAGGUAACGGCUCACCAAGGCGACGAUCCGUAGCUGAUCUGAGAGGAUGAUCAGCCACACUGGAACUGAGACACGGUCCAGACUCCUACGGGAGGCAGCAGUAGGGAAUAUUGGACAAUGGGGGCAACCCUGAUCCAGCCAUGCCGCGUGAGUGAAGAAGGCCCUCGGGUUGUAAAGCUCUUUUGUCCGGAAAGAAAAGCAAUCGGUUAAUACCCGGUUGUUCUGACGGUACCGGAAGAAUAAGCACCGGCUAACUUCGUG